UGCUCGCGUUAGCGGGUGAAGUGGAAAUCCUUUUUUAAAAGGAUUCGCCGGAGCGAUAGCGCAGGCAAAUCUCUUUUAAAAAAGAUUGCAACGGAACACGCGGCGGCGG
rnacentral:sRNA from 1 species